GGGCCUGUAGCUCAGCAAGGUAGAGCGCCGGGCUUUUAACCCGGCGGUCAGGGGUUCAACUCCCCUCGGGCCCG
rnacentral:tRNA from 1 species